GACGAAUAUAUAAACGAAUGUGAAGCCGAAGGGUUUCUAGUCUUCUUAUAGCUUCAAAGACGGGACUGCUCUUCCUCUCUCGUUCUCUUUUUACAUCCAUACGCCAUGCAACGGGUUUUUGGACUUUCUUUCGACUUGACUCAAUGAGAUGGACCUUAUUGGCCCAAUGAGGGAUGCGAAGGGAAGGAGAGUCCAUUUGGACUCCAAGACGGGUUCAUGCAAAGCAAAAAAGUAAUGAAUGUUAAUAUGUGAUCAACUAAGAAAGAAAAAUAAGAAAGGGGGGAUUAAAGAAAAACACAAACAUCAAAUCAAGCAAAUAAAAAAAUGAGAUACAUAACGUAUGACUAUAUGAAGGAAAGAAAUCACAGAGCAAACUAACUCAAUACAAAGCCAAAAGGCUAAUAAGAAAGAGUGAGGGUGCGUUCAUAUUGCCAAACAACAUGCUAAAUAAAUUAUGUCUUGAUGCAGACUUCAUUUGCACUCAAGUGUGAAUAACCCAUUCAAUACCUAAGAGCGUAGAAAUCUGUUUGACAAAAUUAUGGUACACAAAGUGAAUUCUAAAACAAACUCUAAAUCUUCCCUAUGGAUACACUCAAAAUCCUAUACAAUUAGUUAGAAACUCAGAAAAUAUAGAGUCACAGAAAGGUAAUUAAAGAAAAUUAGCUCAAGCAUGGGGUAGAAAACUUUUCCCUUGCAUGAGUUGCACUACGAUCUACUUAUUUUCCCUUCAUAACAAUUAGUGAGUUGAGGAACCUUAGCUAAUACUAGCAAUCCACCACAGAAAUUAACAUCAAACCCAUUACCAAAACACUAUAUAAAGCACAGAGAAUAAAACGCAGAGAAUCCAUACACAUAACGAAAAAUCAUUUCCCUUGAUGAUCAUGAUCAUCUUUUCCCGCUAGAUGAAAUUGCAACCCAAAUUCAAAAAUUUAAACUUUGAAUGAAGCAAAAAAGGAUGUUUAUACACAAUAUCAUUUCCAGGUCAAAACCAUAUUCCAUUAGACAAAACCGACUUGACUCGAAUUCAACAUCAAAGAGACCCCAUCCAUUCUUUUUUACGAUAAAACAAUUACAUUUUCCUUGGGGAUCAAGAAAAUGGAACAUCGACUUAGCACGAACUCAACAAAGAAAUGAAAGGUUCAAAUUUUUCAAUCCCACAACGAAGGGAACACUAAGAUCAGGUAAACAAUAUUCAGCAACCCAAAACUUAUAAAAAUGGAAUCGAAACACGAAACCUUAAUCAUGAAAUUAGGUAAACAAGAUUGCCCACAUCCUGAGACUAUAAAACAAAUUCAAAGCCUGAACUUUAAAUAGGAUCAGCUAUAAUAGGACACCAUUAGCCCUAAACUAUUACAAACAUUAAAAUUUUAUGUAAUAUCAACUAUAACAAGACACUGUCAGCUGGCCAAUGAAGUUAAAAUCAAAACAGGAAUCCCAAAGUGAAUUGAUGGAUUAAACCCACAAUCAAUGCCAAUGCACAACAACAAAUCGAAAGCUAAUUAACAAUGUUAAAAUCAAAUAAAAGAUUACGAAAUCAAGACGAGCAUAUGAUACUUAAGCAACAAGCUUUAACCACUAAGCCAGCAGUUCAACAUCACACAUAAUCACACGACAAACAAUACUUUCAGCAAAACAUACUCUAGGGUCUUAAAGACCUCUUUAACAGAUAACCUCGCAUGCCAUAUCAUUUAGAUUUAGAACUACAAAAGGUUGAGAUGAAGUAGAAGCAAUCUAAAACUAAUGGGAUGGGCUAUUACCUAUUUUGAUGCAACAAACAGGACGACGAGCUAGGGUUAAGAUGUGUAGCCAGCAGAAAAUGACGUCUUCAUCACCUCACACACAUAAUCAAUCAACGAACCCUUGCAGCUUUCGAUUAAACAGUCAACUUUUAAAGAAGCAAGAGCGAGAUAACCUUACUAAAGAAAAUGAUGCUAGAAAAGUUUUCUUUUUCUUUAUUUCUUUCCAGAUUUUUUCAACCAAAAUUCUCCAUAGAAAAUCUUUUUAUUUUUGAACCAAAAUCGAUCAAAACCCAAUUUUCGAACCCAAGAGCCUUAGAAAUUUUCCGAACAAGACUUUCGAACCCCCCAAAUAGAAAACCCAAAGACCUCUAAAAUUUCCAACUUCGAAGGGAAAAGAGAGGAGAGAAAAAAGUUCCCAAAGUUUCGAACCCUAAUUUCAACUCUCGAAUCUCCAACCCCUGAACAAUGACUCCUUCCCCUCUUAAAUAGAAAAUCAAAUUGGGGUAUUUUUUUUUUUGGAAUCUGAAAGAAGGAUCUCUUGAAUUUGAAAUCCCAAAAUUUUCCCCACAACCUCGUUUUCGUCUUCAAUUCGUACCCUUUUUUAGAUUUUUUUAGCCAAAUUGCAAUAGGUGGACCAAUUAAAAAAGGGCAAAAUGAAUUUUACCCGAAAACCAAUGGAAAUCAGCUAAAUAUGUACGAGAUCAUACGAGUUAUCCCAAAAUUUACGGAGUUAGCUGCUGGGGGAUGACACCUAGCUUAUUUCUAGAAGGUUCGAGGGUUUUCCUCACGUGAACCCGUGUGAGACAUGUGAAGAAGGCUACAAAUGGGCUGAUUUGGGUGAAAUCGGGUUGAAGAUGGGUCGGUGGGUUUUCAG
rnacentral:lncRNA from 1 species